rnacentral:rRNA from 1 species
GAUGAACGCUGGCGGCGUGCUUAACACAUGCAAGUCGAACGGUGAACGAGGGAGCUUGCUCCCUCCGGAUCAGUGGCGAACGGGUGAGUAACACGUGAGCAAUCUGCCCCGAACUCUGGGAUAAGCGCUGGAAACGGCGUCUAAUACCGGAUACGACGCGCGAAGGCAUCUUCUGCGCGUGGAAAGAAUUUCGGUUCGGGAUGAGCUCGCGGCCUAUCAGCUAGUUGGUGAGGUAACGGCUCACCAAGGCGACGACGGGUAGCCGGCCUGGGAGGGUAACCGGCCACCCUGGGACUGAGACACGGCACAGACUCCUACGGGAGGCAGCAGUGGGGAAUAUUGCACAAUGGGCGCAAGCCUGAUGCAGCAACGCCGCGUGAGGGACGACGGCCUUCGGGUUGUAAACCUCUUUUAGUAGGGAAGAAGCGAAAGUGACGGUACCUGCAGAAAAAGCACCGGCUAACUACGUGCCAGCCGCCGCUGUAAUAC